rnacentral:rRNA from 1 species
AUUGAACGCUGGCGGCAUGCCUUACACAUGCAAGUCGAACGGUAACAGGUCUUCGGAUGCUGACGAGUGGCGAACGGGUGAGUAAUACAUCGGAACGUGCCUAGUAGUGGGGGAUAACUACUCGAAAGAGUGGCUAAUACCGCAUGAGAUCUACGGAUGAAAGCAGGGGAUCGCAAGACCUUGUGCUACUAGAGCGGCCGAUGGCAGAUUAGGUAGUUGGUGGGAUAAAAGCUUACCAAGCCGACGAUCUGUAGCUGGUCUGAGAGGACGAUCAGCCAGACUAGGACUGAGACACGGCCCAGACUCCUACGGGAGGCAGCAGUGGGGAAUUUUGGACAAUGGGCGCAAGCCUGAUUCAGCAAUGCCGCGUGCAGGAUGAAGGCCUUCGGGUUGUAAACUGCUUUUGUACGGAACGAAAAGCCCUGGGUUAAUACCCUGGGGUCAUGACGGUACCGUAAGAAUAAGCACCGGCUAACUACGUGCCAGCCGCCGCAGUAA